rnacentral:lncRNA from 1 species
UUUUUUUUUAGCAGUUCUGGGAAUCAAACCCAGACCCUCGUGCAUGCCAGGCCAGCACUCUACCACUGAAGUAUAUCCCCAAUCUCAUUUUUGUAAAUUUUUUUCAAGUUUCACACAAUGACCAUAGAAGUCGGAACUGGGACCCACAGGCAUAGCUCAGGGGCAGAGUGCGGGCCUAGGGUGUGCAAGGCUCUAGGUUGAUCCUCAGCCUGGGGAAGGGCCACAACUUUGUCCUAGGCCUUUGCGCUGGUGGCACCACCCUGUGGAUGCAGCUGGAAUUACUUUGAUGAUCCUGAACCUCUUUUCUGGGAUCUGACCAGUGACCCCAACCCUCACGCCCAGGUAUUCCUCAGAGCCCCUGGAAACAUCUCACAUGAAUUCAGGAACAAGUUGCAGAGUUUGUUGACCCAUCAAGAACUGUUGGAAUGCCAGCAGGUACCCAGAAUGCACUCUGAUUUCCCAGCUUCUUGUUUGAGAGAUGAAGGACAGCUAUUCCCAAGACCACAGAGAAUUUCCAAGGAUGGACACCAAGAGUGGUUAAAGCUGGGGCCAAAUCCCGGCUCUACCACUUCUUAGCACUGUGUAACCGUCGAUGGGUUAUUUAACCUCAUUUCUUCAUCUGUAAGAUGGCGACAUCUACCUGUGCUACCUGUGCAUUAAAAUCAAACCAUCAUGGUGCACACCUAUAAUUCCAGAGGCUUGGGAGGCUGAGACAGGAGAAUUGCAAGUUCAAAGCCAGCCUCAGCAACUGUGAGGCACUAAGCAACACAAUGAGACCCAUCUCUAAGUAAAAUACAAAAUAUGGCUGAGGAUAUGGCUCAGUGGUCGAGAGCCCCAGAGUUCAAUCACUGAUACUCCCCCCUGAAAAAAAUCAAACCAUCAUCAGAAGGUGGUGGCACAUGCCUGUAAUCCAGCAGCUCGGGAGGCUGAGGCAGGAGGAUUGUGAGUUCAAAGCCAGCCUCAGCAAAAGGGAGGCACUAAGCAACUCAGUGAGACUCUGUCUCUAAAUAAAAUACAAAGUAGGGCUGGGGAUGUGGCUCAGUGGUUGAGAACCCCAGAGUUCAAUCCCCAGUACCCUCCUCCCCCAAAAAUCAAACCAUCUGGCAAAUACCUACCCCCUUUUCAGGCCAAGACGAAGGAUAGCAAUUGUCAUUGUUCUUAUAGACUUUAUAGACUUUCAGAAGGUUAUCACAGCUAACAUUAGAACAGCCCUCUGGCUGCAAGCCGUGUCAGUUCACUGGGCCAACCCAGACUGCUUGAAUCCCUCUUAGACCUGAGCUGGCCCUUGCCACCACGUAGCCACCGACACACAUGGCAAUAAACAAAGAGAAUCCAAGCCUCCCAUAAGCUCAUACUCAAGAGAUAAUCCCUGCUAACAAUCUGGCGGGGGCAUGUCAUGGUGCUGCUCUAUUUGUCAUUCCCAGUCUGUGCAGUGCACCCCCACACCCAUCUUUCUCACCUUCACUCUGAUGUUAUCAUUUUUCUGAGGCCAUAAUAAUCUUUGUGAGGGCCUGGACAUUGGGUGGCUUUUCAUUUAUUUCUGGCCGCACACGGUCUUCCUCACCCCAGAUGGUGUAUGUGGAACCGUGCGCUCGGCUGAGGUGAUGACUAACCAGCUAGCAGGGCUGGCAGCCCCCCUCUGUGGUACAGAAGGGUGGCACUGCUGCGUUUCCAUUUAGCUGAGACAGAACACCCACGGUCGCCACCUGCACAGGCUGCUGGGAACAUGGCCCUGAUUUACACCCCCAAAUCCCUCUUGAAACCAUUCUGUCUGCAUAGUAAAGAGGCUUUGGACACAUGCAAGCUGACCUUUGGAGAGAUGGGCCUUAUGAGCUACCGUAGCCCAAAGGGAGAUGGUGCCCACUUGGGGCCCUGGCUGGCCUCAGAGAGGACACAGGGGAGGAGAAAUGCAACCACAGACCUUUCUCAUCCAGGCAGCUAAACACAGGGCCAGUGACAGCCUGGAACAGUCUGCGCUUCCAGCAGGCCAAAACAGGCUUCAGGGCAGGAGGUGGUGAGGACUGGCAAGGGAGUCCCAGUGAGACCCAAUGACAGUUAAGACCUGGGUGGGCCUGGACCACACCCUUGGGAAAAUGUAUGGGAACAAUCUUUGCAGUGUAAUACUUCUAGUAUCUGCAACUACACCUGCCCCACAGGCUGGUUUGGAUGCUGCCCAUCUCUUAGGGUCUGAUUGUGGUCUCCCAUCAAGUUCAUGUUGAAGUCCUAACCCCCAAAUCUCAGAUUCUAGCUAUAUUUGGAGAUAAAGUCUUUAAAGAAGUAAUUAAAUAAAAAUGAGGUCAUUACAAUGGGCCCUCACCUAAGCCAAAUGGUGAAGACACAGACCCACACAGAGGGAAUCCCAUGUGAGAUACAGGGAGAAGAGGGCCCUCUACAAGCCAAGGAGAAAGGCCCCAGAAGAUGCCAGCCCUGCCAAGGACAAUCUUGAGCUCCGUGAGAAAUUAAAUUUCUGUUGUUUAAGCUAUGCAGUCUGUGGCUCCUUGCUGCGACAACCCAAGCCAAUCAUCUCUCUCAGAAGGUGGAAUGCAGACCCGGGCUGGAGGGAAUUAUUGACU